rnacentral:rRNA from 1 species
CAGUAGCCGCGGUAAGACAGAGGAUGCAAGCGUUAUCCGGAAUGAUUGGGCGUAAAGCGUCUGUAGGUGGCUUUUCAAGUCCGUCGUCAAAUCCCAGGGCUCAACCCUGGACAGGCGGUGGAAACUACCAAGCUGGAGUACGGUAGGGGCAGAGGGAAUUUCCGGCGGAGCGGUGAAAUGCGUCGAGAUCGGAAAGAACACCAUCGGCGAAAGCACUCUGCUGGGCCGACACUGACACUGAGAGACGAAAGCUAGGGGAGCAAAUGGGAUUAGAUACCCCCGUAGUCCCUGUCUCUUAUAC